GUACUCUGGAGAGAUUCUCUAAAUAGAGAACACCAAAGGGGAAGCCGGAGACGGCGAAUCUCUCAGGUUCAAGGACAGAGAAGGUGCG
rnacentral:ncRNA from 1 species